rnacentral:rRNA from 1 species
GAUGAACGCUAGCGGGAGGCCUAACACAUGCAAGCCGAGCGGUAGAGUUUCUUCGGAAACUUGAGAGCGGCGCACGGGUGCGUAACACGUGUGCAACCUACCUUUAUCUGGGGGAUAGCCUUUCGAAAGGAAGAUUAAUACCCCAUAAUAUAAUGAUUGGCAUCAAUUAUUAUUGAAAACUCCGGUGGAUAGAGAUGGGCACGCGCAAGAUUAGAUAGUUGGUGAGGUAACGGCUCACCAAGUCAAUGAUCUUUAGGGGUCCUGAGAGGGAGAUCCCCCACACUGGUACUGAGACACGGACCAGACUCCUACGGGAGGCAGCAGUGAGGAAUAUUGGACAAUGGGUGAGAGCCUGAUCCAGCCAUCCCGCGUGAAGGAUGACGGUCCUAUGGAUUGUAAACUUCUUUUGUACAGGGAUAAACCUACCCUCGUGAGGGUAGCUGAAGGUACUGUACGAAUAAGCACCGGCGAACUCCGU